ensembl:miRNA bta-mir-2285cu bta-mir-2285cu
AAAACGUUCGUUUGGGUUUUUUGUACCGUCUCAGGAAAUACCCAGACGAACCUUUUGGC